rnacentral:rRNA from 1 species
GAAUCUGCCCUCAGGAGGGAGAUAACGGUUGGAAACGACCGCUAAUACCCCAUAUGCCGAGAGGUGAAAUGAAUUUCGCCUGAGGAUGAGCCCGCGUCUGAUUAGCUUGUUGGUGAGGUAAUGGCUCACCAAGGCAUCGAUCAGUAGCUGGUCUGAGAGGAUGAUCAGCCACACUGGGACUGAGACACGGCCCAGACUCCUACGGGAGGCAGCAGUGGGGAAUUUUCCGCAAUGGGCGAAAGCCUGACGGAGCAACGCCGCGUGAGGGACGAAGGCCUCUGGGCUGUAAACCUCUUUUCUCAAGGAAGAAGAUAUGACGGUACUUGAGGAAUAAGCCACGGCUAAUUCCGUGCCAGCAGCCGCGGUAAUACGGGAGUGGCAAGCGUUAUCCGGAAUUAUUGGGCGUAAAGCGUCCGCAGGCGGCCUUUCAAGUCUGCUGUUAAAGCGUGGAGCUUAACUCCAUCAUGGCAGUGGAAACUGAUUGGCUUGAGUAUGGUAGGGGCAGAGGGAAUUCCCGGUGUAGCGGUGAAAUGCGUAGAUAUCGGGAAGAACACCAGUGGCGAAGGCGCUCUGCUGGGCCAUUACUGACGCUCAUGGACGAAAGCCAGGGGAGCGAAAGGGAUUAGAUACCCCUGUAGUCCUGGCCGUAAACGAUGAACACUAGGUGUCGGGGGAAUCGACCCCCUCGGUGUCGUAGCCAACGCGUUAAGUGUUCCGCCUGGGGAGUACGCACGCAAGUGUGAAACUCAAAGGAAUUGACGGGGGCCCGCACAAGCGGUGGAGUAUGUGGUUUAAUUCGAUGCAACGCGAAGAACCUUACCAGGGUUUGACAUCCUGCGAAUCUCUUGGAAACAGGAGAGUGCCUUCGGGAACGCAGUGACAGGUGGUGCAUGGCUGUCGUCAGCUCGUGUCGUGAGAUGUUGGGUUAAGUCCCGCAACGAGCGCAACCCACGCCUUUAGUUGCCAGCAUUUAGUUGGGCACUCUAGAGAGACUGCCGGUGAUAAACCGGAGGAAGGUGUGGAUGACGUCAAGUCAUCAUGCCCCUUACAUCCUGGGCUACACACGUACUACAAUGCUACGGACAAAGGGCAGCAAGUUCGCGAGGACAAGCAAAUCCCAUAAACCGUGGCUCAGUUCAGAUCGUAG